CUCAUGGUGCCUGGACCAGAAUUCCAACAUAGCCUCGAUUAAAAAAAUAAACCAUCAGGCUGAAUGCACUCUGCAACAGAAGUCUGCUAUUCCUGAAUUUUAUUUUAUUUCAAAGAUACUGUCUAGGUUGGUUUCCUAUAAAGGUGGUCUUUCUGCUCAGGAGUAGUUUCAUCAACUAACCCUGAUAAUUGGCUCAUAAUAUCCCUGAAUGAGAUGUUUGUUCUUAGCUCAGGGAACCCGUCUCAGCUGAACCAACUUGGCACCACUGAGUCCUACGAUUGAACAUGAGUGAUUACAAAUGGGCUCUGUGUUUAGGUUUGAGCUCAAGCAGAACAUUUAGUAGGAUCUAUGGGGUUCCCAGGGAAAAUAGCCUUCAUUUUUCUUGGGAUGUGUGCAAAGCUUAAAUUUCAAAGGAUGAAUUGGGCAAGCGUUCACUCACUGACCCAAAAGUGGUUUGGAAAAGAUGGUGCUUCGUUCCACUGAAGGGUUAUCCCUCAAUUUAACUGAACAAAGGCUAACACUCAGGUGCUUCUGUUUAAGGGAUGGGGGGGACCCUGCAGAGGUGCACGGUGUUCAGACUGUGGAUUCAUUAGGAUGGUCAGGAGCACUGGAGUUGAGUUUUAACUCAAACACUCAAUUAAAAUUUUUCUUUGAAAUUUGUCCUCUCUUGUUUGAACUACAAAAUAUUUUUGCUGGACCUGUGUGUGUGUCUAAAGAUGAAUGACUUCCUUAGAUCCAUGCCAGCAAUCCCAGCCCAGAGCACCCAGCCUCAGGGCACAGCCCUGCACCCCAGGGGAUCUGGAUUCAGUAGGCACCGACAUGUUCACUUUAACUUCAACAUAUUGACCAGUAUCCUAUGAACCUGUGUAAUUUGCAGAGUGGACUCGGUGACUUUGUGAGAUAUAUAUAUAUAUAUAUAUAUAUAUAUAUAUAUAUAUAUAUAUAUAUAUUCAAAUUGAUAGAUUUUAUUUAUUUACUAAUUUUGGCAGUUUUAGGUUUACACAAAUGUUGACUAGGAGGCCCAGAGCUCCUCCAUGUCUCUGGCCAGGACUUCCUCU
rnacentral:lncRNA from 1 species